AUUGAACGCUGGCGGCAUGCUUUACACAUGCAAGUCGGACGGCAGCAUAAAAGAGCUUGCUCUUUUGAUGGCGAGUGGCGAACGGGUGAGUAAUGCAUCGGAACGUACCGAGUAGUGGGGGAUAACUGUCCGAAAGGAUGGCUAAUACCGCAUAUUCUCUGAGGAGGAAAGCAGGGGACCUUAGGGCCUUGCGCUAUUUGAGCGGCCGAUGUCUGAUUAGCUAGUUGGUGGGGUAAGAGCCCACCAAGGCGACGAUCAGUAGCGGGUCUGAGAGGAUGAUCCGCCACACUGGGACUGAGACACGGCCCAGACUCCUACGGGAGGCAGCAGUGGGGAAUUUUGGACAAUGGGCGCAAGCCUGAUCCAGCCAUGCCGCGUGUAUGAAGAAGGCCUUCGGGUUGUAAAGUACUUUUGUCAGGGAAGAAAAGCCUGAGGAUAACACCCUCAGGUCAUGACGGUACCUGAAGAAUAAGCACCGGCUAACUACGUGCCAGCAGCCGCGGUAAUACGUAGGGUGCGAGCGUUAAUCGGGAUUACUGGGCGUAAAGCGAGCGCAGACGGUUAUUUAAGCAAGAUGUGAAAGCCCCGGGCUCAACCUGGGAACUGCGUUUUGAACUGGGUAACUAGAGUGUGUCAGAGGGGGGUAGAAUUCCACGUGUAGCAGUGAAAUGCGUAGAGAUGUGGAGGAAUACCGAUGGCGAAGGCAGCCCCCUGGGAUAACACUGACGUUCAUGCUCGAAAGCGUGGGUAGCAAACAGG
rnacentral:rRNA from 1 species